rnacentral:rRNA from 1 species
GAUGAACGCUGACAGAAUGCUUAACGCAUGCAAGUCUUUGGCGAAGCUGUGCUUGCACAGCCUAGCCAAGGCGGACGGGUGAGUAACGCGUAAGGAACUUGCCCUGCAGUCAGGGAUAACAGACGGAAACGACUGAUAAGACCUGGUAAAGUCAGGCGGACUCAUGUCCAGCCUGAUGAAAAGAGAUGCUGCAGGAGAGCCUUGCGUCCUAUUAGCUUGUUGGUGGGGUAACGGCCCACCAAGGCGAUGAUAGGUAGCCGGCCUGAGAGGGUGGACGGCCACAAGGGGACUGAGAUACGGCCCUUACUCCUACGGAAGGCAGCAGUGGGGAAUAUUGGACAAUGGGGGCAACCCUGAUCCAGCAAUUCUGUGUGCACGAUGAAGGUUUUCGGAUUGUAAAGUGCUUUCAGCAGGGAAGAAAAAAAUGACGGUACCUGCAGAAGAAGCGACGGCUAAAUACGUG